UGAGGAAUCUUGCGCAAUGGGGGAAACCCUGACGCAGCAACGCCGCGUGAGUGAGGAAGGUCUUCGGAUCGUAAAGCUCUGUCGGAUGGGAAGAAAUGCUUCCAGGUUAACAGCCUAUAAGCUUGACGGUACCAUUAGAGGAAGCACCGGCUAACUCCGUGCCAGCAGCCGCGGUAAUACGGGGGGUGCAAGCGUUGUUCGGAAUCAUUGGGCGUAAAGGGCGUGUAGGCGGCUAGAUAAGUCAGAUGUGAAAGCCCUGGGCUUAACCCAGGAAGUGCAUUUGAAACUGUCUGGCUUGAGUAAGGGAGAGGAAAGUGGAAUUCCUGGUGUAGAGGUGAAAUUCGUAGAUAUCAGGAGGAACACCGGUGGCGAAGGCGACUUUCUGGCCCUAUACUGACGCUGAGACGCGAAAGCGUGGGUAGCAAACA
rnacentral:rRNA from 1 species